rnacentral:rRNA from 1 species
GGAGUUAGCCGGUGCUUCUUCUGCGAGUAACGUCACAGAUGUAAGGUAUUAACUUACACCCUUUCCUCCUCGCUGAAAGUGCUUUACAACCCGAAGGCCUUCUUCACACACGCGGCAUGGCUGCAUCAGGGUUUCCCCCAUUGUGCAAUAUUCCCCACUGCUGCCUCCCGUAGGAGUCUGGGCCGUGUCUCAGUCCCAGUGUGGCUGAUCAUCCUCUCAGACCAGCUAGGGAUCGUCGCCUAGGUGAGCCUUUACCUCACCUACUAGCUAAUCCCACCUGGGCUUAUCCAUCAGCGCAAGGCCCGAAGGUCCCCUGCUUUCCCCCGUAGGGCGUAUGCGGUAUUAGCAGUCGUUUCCAACUGUUAUCCCCCACAAAUGGGCAAAUUCCCAGGCAUUACUCACCCGUCCGCCGCUCGUCAUCUUCAAAAGCAAGCUUUUGAAAUGUUACCGCUCGACUUGCAUGUGUUAGGCCUGCCGCCAGCGUUCAAUCUGAGCCAUAGAUACAACUCUCGA